UCCCCAGAGAAGGUCCUCUUUCAGCAGUCCCUUGAAUUGUAGGCAUGGGAAGAAAGCUCCCAUUCAUAUCUACCAUUCACAGUAUUUUUCUUCUUAUCUCCUCCAUGUAGCUCUCCCAAGAGUGUCUAGAAUCAACUAAAGUGAAUCCCUUGUGGCAGGUGCCUAGUGUUUUGCUCAGCAUUUUCUUAGCCAGUCAGGAGUCAUAGCUCCAUCUGUCUAGGCAGAAGCGUGCAAAUGGACCCAGAGAUUCAUCAGGGGAAAAUGAAGAGCAGUAAGUGGAAGAUGGAGGAAGUUUCAGCUUGAUGUGUGGGGAAGCUUUCUCUCAGUGAGAACUAUUGAAAAGUGGAAUGGACUGCUUCCGGAGGUAAUGGCUUGCCCCUCAUUCGAGAUCUUCAAGUAGAAGCUGGAUAUCACUCGGGCAUGUUGUGGAACAUGCCUUAAUCCAAGUCUGACCCUUCCAUGCCCUUGAAAGAAGAGCAACCUCCUACUUCUGAAAAGUGCCUCAGAAAAAGUGGAGUGAAGCGAUGAACAAAAUCCUCAUUACUUAACAACCUGCUGCUUACUAAAGAGGCACUCAUAGCAAAAGAUACUAGCAGCGGCAAAUACCUUUUACUUCAAUAAAUGAUCGAGCAACAUUAUGAAAAUACUAAAAGUAACUCUUUAUUAAAUAGACAGACAAAUA